GAUGGUUCUCAGGUGACGCACCCCAGAAUCAGGCUCCCUCCUCUCUGGUUCCGGGUGCGUCACCCGAGAACCACA
rfam:Myotis davidii contig50402, whole genome shotgun sequence.